ACUGAAACAGUCAACGUCCCACAAUGGACUUGACAUAGGCACAUCGUCACUGAGACGACACGGACAACUCUUUCCCUCUUUACACUCUAUGCCAUCAUAUAUAUUAGUUAUAUAGAUGUCGCUUGUGUUAUUUUCAGGCCUACUACACUAGGAGAUUUUUGUGUUAGUAAUUUAGAAUCCAUUUGUAUAUUAUCCGACAUGAUUCGCACAAACAUUUUUAUUUGUCUUCAACUGAAAAUAAUAUAAAAUCAUAUUAUAAUAUAUAAAAGUGUAAUCGUGUAGCAUUAAUCAUAUCAGAUAGUAUAAACGAAUCCUUGUUGUGCAUUGAGGAUUCGAUCGUAGUCCGUAUCGUACCAUUGGCCAAUCGUGCAUUUUUCUUUUUUUUAUAUUUAAAAAAUUUUUUUUAUUUUUUCAUAUUGUUGCACUAUUUUGUUGCAUGACCGUGAUUCUUAAUGAAAUAUAAAUAGUGACCUAUUUGAAUUAUGUUAAAAGAAGUUGAAAAAAUAAAUAUAGAUUGCAAAGUUCCAGUGUCUUGAAAAAUUCGCUAGAGAUACCUUCGAGAAUUUUUUAUACAAAUUUUUCUCAAGAUACAAUGGAGUUCUAAAAAUUAAAAAUUUAUUAAAUUAAAUUUAUUUGUUUUUAAAUUAAAAUGAAAAUCGUUAAAAAAGAGAAGAAGAGGAAAAUGAACAAUUUUAGCAAUUUUUAUAGCGUGGACAAUUACGAAUGAAGAUUACACAAAAAUUAAAGAAAACGAUACAGAUGUAGAGAAAAAAGAAUAGAAACAUGGAUGAUGGUAUUCAUUCAAAGCGUUUUCAUUUUCACAAAAUUUAUGAUUGUUCUAUGUCUUGUGAAUUUGCCGUACCGAGACGGUAGUGGCUGUACAAGAAUUGGCUCGAUUCCGUAAGAAGGCUGAGCCCUCCCAUUUUCUCUUAAAUUGUGCUAUCACCUAAACAAAAGUAACGUUCAUUAAUGAACAUUUUCUUUAUUUCACGUAAUUAGAAAUAAUCGUUUACUUACCUCACCGUUACAGAAACAAAAUAAAAUAGCCACACAGAGACCCUGUGGAAAAAAUAUCAAUCAAAAACUUAAAAAUUUAUAAAUAAUAUUUAAUAUAAUAAUUAUUUAUUUCAAAUAUUUAUAAAAGAUUGAUUAAUUUUAAUAUUCAAUUUGAUAUAGUAUCCAAGAAAAUUGAAAGUUGAUUGUGAAAUAUAAGAAAAUGGUAAAUGUAAUUUCUAUUUGAAAAUAUGUAAAAUCAUUUUGUACCUGGAAAGAAGCCGUUAUAGCAGAAAGAACUUCGUAGAAAUGCUCCCAAGGAUGAUUUUUCGGUGGCCUGAACGGUAUGACAAGAUAAUGUAAACCCAAAAGAGGUACAAGAAGUAAUGUUGCCCUAAUGAAAUGAAAAAUUGUUAUUUUUUUUUUUUUACUUAAACUAAAGCGAAAUUAUAAGCAAAAUUAAAAAACAUUUAGAUACGAAUUAAUAGGUAUUAAUUACCGAAAUGCUUGACGCAUAGAUCUCGAAGGUUGUGUACCAAUGCUAGGACCAGCUCUUAGCUUCAUUAAUAGAACUCGAACGAUAUUGAAGAGAAAAAGUACAUUCAAUAAGGUGGAAACACAUACUGGAUAAACCAAUACGUUCAUGUAAUUACCCUCAUUGAUCCAACAUCUGAGAUCAACAUCAAUCAAUGUACGGGCCAACCAAGAAUCAUCAACCAUUUUACUAAUUUCUGUUCGCUUGUGAAUGCACUGACAAGCAGAGUAUGUAGAUAAAAACCUUCGCAUAACAUCCAUGCGUAAUUAGUAAGAAGAAAAUAAUGGAGGAUAAUAUGCAACAGCCGACAUGUCAUCUGAAAAAUUUACAAAGGCGUUAUUAUUCGAAUGAUAUAUGGUGUGAGUAAAUUCUCGUUCGAGUUACUGGGUCGAGUGUUAAGCAAAGAGUUAAGAUCUUCAUACAUACCCCAUUGUUUAACAGUAAAUCCGUAUUCGCUACGAUGCAUCUAUACCACACCAGCCAUAGAGCAUUAUUUACAGCAAAAGAGGCGAACAGGUUCAUAUGAAGAGUGAUCCUUGCACACCUCAGGGAGCUAUUUCGAAGAAAUUCAUGCAAAGAAUCAAUAAUUUCAUGUCAAUAUCGAUAAAUUUAUAAUAUAUAUAUUUGAAAAAGCAAAAUUCUGUGUUUGUUUACGGAUAUAAACAAUGAUAUUCGUAAAUUUGCAUGACACAUUUUAAAAUCUCUCGAUACGAAGGAAUAAUUGAUUUCGAUAAUAAAAUUUAUUUUAACAAAAAAAAAAAAUACAAGAAGUUGAAAGAAAAAAAAGAAAGAAAAUGAAAUAAUAACGUGAAGAGAAGAUAAAUUCGUAUUCAUUAUUAACUCACCGGAAAU